rnacentral:rRNA from 1 species
ACGGCCGCAAGGUUAAAACUCAAAUGAAUUGACGGGGGCCCGCACAAGCGGUGGAGCAUGUGGUUUAAUUCGAUGCAACGCGAAGAACCUUACCUGGUCUUGACAUCCACAGAACUUAGCAGAGAUGCUUUGGUGCCUUCGGGAACUGUGAGACAGGUGCUGCAUGGCUGUCGUCAGCUCGUGUUGUGAAAUGUUGGGUUAAGUCCCGCAACGAGCGCAACCCUUAUCCUUUGUUGCCAGCGGUCCGGCCGGGAAC